UUACUUUUAAGAAAUCUUUAUUAAAACUUACUCAUCCCACACAGUGCAUUUAUUACAUGAAUAAAUUGUGUAAAUAUUUGUAGUUUUACUUAAAAAAAAAUCAUGUUCUCCUAGAAUCUUUAUUACUAUGUAGAAAUUAUUAAAUACAAUUUAAUAUAAUUUACUAGCCCCAAGUUUGUUUUUUCAGUGUACUAUGUGUUUUUAUGUCUCUAUAUUGAUUUUGCAAUGUUAGAUUUUAGUACCACUAUUAAAUGUUGUCUCUCCUUUUCACCAUGUGUAAAGCAUAUUUAAUUGCAUUGUGUAUAAAAUGCGCCAAACAAAUACAUUUGCCUUGCUUUGCUAUAAUUACACGGAACUACAAAGCUGCUUUUUUUGAAGGCUCAACGUCGCCAAGUUGAACGCCUGCAGAAAUUACACAAACAUCACGAUGUAUGUGAAAGUCGUUAUGAAAAGGCAAGUGCAGAAUUGUUAGAGAUGGAGAGAGCGCAAACAGCGGUCUUCCAUCGUCGUCUGUUUUCAACGGUAAUGUUUCCUUCACGUUUUGAUAACAUACCUCAGGGUGAAAAACAUUAAUUCCUACUUUAUAACCUUGGUUUUUGCAUCUCCAUGCUCCUCUGUCAUGUAAUUAUGGAUGCUAAUCAAUAGCACAGCACAAUAACAGUUUACCUCGUAAACAAUAUCCACAUUUUCAGCACUUCAUACUUCUGUAUUAGUUUAAAUAGUUUCCUUCACCAUUGUUUUGCAGAUGCAAGAACAGACACAGAUAGAUGGAGAAAUGUUGGCAGAUAACAAGAAUGCAGAGAUAAUGGAACCCUUGAUGAAUACAGACAGCAUGAUGCUGAAUGAAGAAAUGGCUGGAGAAGAUGGAUUUUCACAUUCAAGCUCCAUGUCCAGCAUUUCCACAGAUGAGUAUGUACCAGAGUCAUCAGAGGACAGUUCAGAGGAAUCACCAAACCAGAGUCCUGCCGCAAAGAGGAAUAAGUUUAUUCCUUUGAAAGAAAACUCAAAAUGCCGCCGCAAAGGACAAAAAGGUAUGGAUUUAUUGUUGGAAAAAAAUUCAGAAGAGUUUCCCAGAGCCAAGAAAAAGACUUUCGGGAGAGCAAGUUCACUCUUUAGAGGAGACUGCUUAGUUACUCCACCUAGAAAAGAAGUUGAAGUUGAACGAAGACUCAAAACCAAGGUAAAUUACAAGACAAAGAAGAGACCCAUAGUUAGUAGCAAGGAUGAUAUAGGCAGAUCAAAACUAAAAAAGAUGAGAUAUAAGAGCAUUCGUAAGAUAGACUCAGACUCUGAGACAGAUCCGAGUGAUUCAGGUGACUCAAAAUUAAAGAAAAAGACACAACACAAGAGACAUCACGGGAGAGAGUCAAGUUACAGUGACACUCAAUCAAAUCAAGCAGACCAGAAAACACACGACAAAACAAGAGAGACUACUGUUCAGAGGAGGACUUGGAUGAGCCAAACCUGAAAAAGACUGAAUACAAGCAUCAUUACAAAAGUAAUAGUCACAGCAAGGAUUCAGAUGGAGUGAAACACACACAAAAGAAAUAUGACAAGAAGAAAGCAGGACUCAGAUCAAAAAGUAGAUACAUGUGGUCUAUGGAAGG
rnacentral:lncRNA from 1 species